rnacentral:rRNA from 1 species
GNGNGCCUUCGAGCUACACUCCCAACCCCUGUGACAUACCAAUUGUUGCCUCGGCGGAUCAGCCCGCUCCCGGUAAAACGGAACGGCCCGCCAGAGGACCCCUAAACUCUGUUUCUAUAUGUAACUUCUGAGUAAAACCAUAAAUAAAUCAAAACUUUCAACAACGGAUCUCUUGGUUCUGGCAUCGAUGAAGAACGCAGCAAAAUGCGAUAAGUAAUGUGAAUUGCAGAAUUCAGUGAAUCAUCGAAUCUUUGAACGCACAUUGCGCCCGCCAGUAUUCUGGCGGGCAUGCCUGUUCGAGCGUCAUUUCAACCCUCAAGCCCCCGGGUUUGGUGUUGGGGAUCGGCGAGCCUCACGGCAAGCCGGCCCCGAAAUACAGUGGCGGUCUCGCUGCAGCUUCCAUUGCGUAGUAGUAAAACCCUCGCAACUGGUACGCGGCGCGGCCAAGCCGUUAAACCCCCAACUUCUGAAUGUUGACCUCGGAUCAGGUAGGAAUACCCGCUGAACUUAAGCAUAUCAAUAAGCGGAGGAA